UUUUCAGAUAGAUAUAGAUAUUUAGAAUAAUAAUUUUUUUUCUGAUUGUCACAUCUUUGUACUGUUUUCUGUGUUUUGGUGAAAUAAAUUGAAUUAUAUUAUGCCUAUGAAUAUUUGCAUGAUUACCUUUUCGUAGCCCAAUAAGGUACACCAAGCAAAGCCAACAAUUCUGCUGGGUUAUUGCUUCCUUGGCAGUCUUUCUCCCUAUGCACUGUUUAUCGUAUGCACUAUACUUAUGAACUGUUGCGACUAAAGGGCACCUAAAGACUGAACCAUUGCUCGGUUGAUACUGCAACUCAGUGGAGUGAUGGGGAGGAAGUUUUGGAAUACAUAGGUGACUCGUUCACUGACACCACUCCAUUCAAUAGCUUUGUGCAGCAAAAAAACUGACACUGUUGUACUUUUUACAGCAGCGCGACUGCCGGAAGGUUAAC